UGUAAAACAUAAAUCAUUUGUAUAUAAAAGAAACUAAAAUAUCAAUCAUUAUGGAAUAAUCACUUUUUUGUUUGUUUAUCACUUCAAUUUAUAUUUUAUUUUGCAGUAAAUUAUGGAGUGGGAUUAGAGAUGCUCUUGAUAACAAAAAAUAGAGAAUAUAAGAGCAGGCACAUUAGAGGAUGUAAUGGGGUUCAUGAGCUCAAGUUCUUAGGCCCGAAUUGAUUUAAAAAAAUGAAAAAUGACUUUAAUUCAUUGAACCGAUCCUUAGUAGUGAAUUCGUAUGAAGCGGUUCAGACCACGUGUCAAUCAGUCACUGUCUUCUCUUUCCUUCUCCACAUCCUCUCCUCGUCUCUUACAGAAGCUGGAGUUCGGUAAUAAGUCUAGCUUUAGCUUCCUCCACUCUCUCUCCAUCUCUUUCCAUUGUUCGUCCCCUUCUCUCCUCUCUCCUCUCUCCUCAUUUCAUUGAUUCAAUUCUUUCUCCUUUCAUCUCAAUUCUUCUCUAUUUUUUAUUUCUAUUUUGUAACAAUCAGAGGAGAAUGGUGGUGGUCUGACAAAUUGGACCUUAUUUCUUGUGUAUGUUUAUUGAAAUCAAUAUAUCUACUUGUGUGUUUCUUCCUCGCAGUGGUGGUGGUCUGAGAACCGGCGCUUCAUGUAGUUGGGACCUCAAGAAGAUAUGUAAUUGGUUCGCGGUGAAGGGUCCGGUGAGAAGUUCGAGUGCCAAGCUGAGGUUCGUUUCUACUAAAGUUUUGAUUUUUAGUCAUGGGAACUUGAUUUGAAUGUGAAAGUUUGAGACUUUAUCACUGGCAGGUGAGCAGAUUGUUGGAUUUGAUAGUUCAUAGCUUAUAUAGUCACAAGAAUUGAUUGAAUGUGUAUUUUGUAUAUGUUUACAGUAAUGCAAGUGAUGCUUUGAUAAGCUGAGGUUCUUGAGUGUGACAGAGCCUGUUUUGCUUGGAGAUGGUGGUGACAAAGGAAGAACUUAUAGACUGACUGUCUUGGAACCAUUGCUCAGAGUGGUACUUCCAAAUUCUCGAACGCUCUUAAGGUUUCAUUUUGUAUUCAUGAUUGCUGUUUGUUGUAAUUGUAGAUGCUUUAGCUGUUAACUCUGAUGGCCGUUACUUGACGACUAGAGGAGUUGAUCGCCAUGUUCAUAAGGUCCAAUUUGUCUCAGCUUUUAUGAUUAUGUGUCUACAUGCAUUUACAUGUCACGGGAACACUGUUUUUUCCCUAUGUUUCUGACACAGAACUGCAGAGCUCUACUCUGGUUCAUUUGAUCGAAGUGUCAAGGCGUGCACUUACGGUUGGGAGAGAUAGAAUCAUGCAACUACACAAGGAAGGUAAACAAGGCAGAGAAGCUUGAUGGAGGAGAAGGUGGCAAAUGGGGUGAGUCAUUAGUGGCGAGGACAUUAGGUGUUUAGAGUGGAGAAGGUCCAAGCUCCGGUAUGUGACUAGAAGACGGUGACGUUGGAGAUAGAACUUUGGGUUUAGAAUUUUAGGUGUAGGUUUAAUUGUUUUUAAAAAAAUUAGUUAAGUUUGAUAUACCUGUCAUAACUAUGUAACCAAUUUCAAUAUAAAAAAAAUUAAUAUAAAUUU